rnacentral:rRNA from 1 species
UACGUAGGGUGCGAGCGUUAAUCGGAAUUACUGGGCGUAAAGCGUGCGCAGGCGGUUUUGUAAGCCAGAUGUGAAAGCCCCGGGCUUAACCUGGGAAUGGCAUUUGGGACUGCAAGGCUGGAGUGCGGCAGAGGAGACUGGAAUUCCUGGUGUAGCAGUGAAAUGCGUAGAUAUCAGGAGGAACACCGAUGGCGAAGGCAGGUCUCUGGGCUGACACUGACGCUCAUGCACGAAAGCGUGGGGAGCAAACAGG